rnacentral:rRNA from 1 species
GACGAACGCUGGCGGCGUGCCCAAUACAUGCAAGUUGAGCGCUGAAGGUUGGUACUUGUACCAACUGGAUGAGCAGCGAACGGGUGAGUAACGCGUGGGGAAUCUGCCUUUGAGCGGGGGACAACAUUUGGAAACGAAUGCUGAUACCGCAUAAAAACUUUAAACACAAGUUUUAAGUUUGAAAGAUGCAAUUGCAUCACUCAAAGAUGAUCCCGCGUUGUAUUAGCUAGUUGGUGAGGUAAAGGCUCACCAAGGCGAUGAUACAUAGCCGACCUGAGAGGGUGAUCGGCCACAUUGGGACUGAGACACGGCCCAAACUCCUACGGGAGGCAGCAGUAGGGAAUCUUCGGCAAUGGACGAAAGUCUGACCGAGCAACGCCGCGUGAGUGAAGAAGGUUUUCGGAUCGUAAAACUCUGUUGGUAGAGAAGAACGUUGGUGAGAGUGGAAAGCUCAUCAAGUGACGGUAACUACCCAGAAAGGGACGGCUAACUACGUG